UACAGAGGGUGCAAGCGUUAAUCGGAAUUACUGGGCGUAAAGCGAGCGUAGUCGGUUAUUUAAGUCGGGUGUGAAAGCCCCGGGCUCAACCUGGGAAUUGCAUUCGAUACUGGAUGGCUUGAGUUCGGGAGAGGGAUGCGGAAUUCCAGGUGUAGCGGUGAAAUGCGUAGAUAUCUGGAGGAACACCGGUGGCGAAGGCGGCAUCCUGGACCGACACUGACGCUGAGGAGCGAAAGCCAGGGGAGCAAACGGG
rnacentral:rRNA from 1 species